rnacentral:rRNA from 1 species
GGGACUGUAUCCAGAGUACCACGAGACACGUGAAACCUUGUGGGAAGCAGGGGGGACCACCCUCCAAGCCAAAAUACUGAUAUCGACCGAUAGCGCAUAGUACCGUGAGGGAAAGGUGAAAAGAACCCCUGGCGGGGAGUGAAAGAGAACCUGAAACCGUAUGUCUACAAACAGUCGAAGUCUGUAUAUAUAUCAGGACGACGGCGUGCCUAUUGAAGAAUGAACCGACGAGUUACUGUUGCUAGCGAGGUUAAGUGGAAAACAUGGAGCCGCAGCGAAAGCGAGUCUGAACAGGGCGUUCAGUUAGUAAUAGUAGACCCGAAACCGUAGUGAUCUAUCCAUGGCCAGGUUGAAGCACAGGUAAAAUUGUGUGGAGGACCGAACUCGUGAGCGUUGAAAAGCUUUGGGAUGAGUUGUGGAUAGGGGUGAAAUGCCAAUCGAACACGGAGAUAGCUGGUUCUCCCCGAAAUAGCUUUAGGGCUAGCCUCGAGGUUGAGAGUAUAGGCGGUAGAGCACUGAUCGGGCUAGGGGCCAUACCGGUUACCGAACCUAGUCAAACUACGAAUGGCUAUACUUAUACUCGGGAGUCAGACAGUGAAUGAUAAGGUCCAUUGUCAAGAGGGAAACAGCCCAGAACACCGACUAAGGUCCCAAAUGUUACACUAAGUGGCGAAGGAUGUGGAAUUUCCAAAACAACCAGGAUGUUGGCUUAGAAGCAGCCACCAUUUAAAGAGUGCGUAAUAGCUCACUGGUCGAGAGACUCUGCGCCGAAAAUGUCCGGGGCUAAAGUGUAAAACCGAAGUCGUGUCAUAUGCAGCAAUGUAUAUGGGUAGGGGAGCGUUCUCAUCGGGCUGAAGCAGUACCGUAAGGAGUUGUGGACUGAUGAGAAGUGAGAAUGUCGGUAUGAGUAGCGAAAAGAAUGGUGAGAAUCCAUUCCACCGAAAGCCUAAGGGUUCCUGAGCAACGAUCGUCGUCUCAGGGUAAGUCGGGACCUAAGCCGAGGCGGAAAAGCGUAGGCGAUGGACAACAGGUUGAAAUUCCGAAGUGAUUGAUCCUACACUGUCGAGAAAAGCUUCUAGGUAGAGACACAUCGCCCGUACCAAAACCGACACAGGUAGGCGGGGAGAGAAUCCUAAGGUGCGCGGGAAAACCCUCGUUAAGGAACUCGGCAAAAUGCCUCCGUAACUUCGGGAAAAGGAGGACUCAUGUAGUGUGAAGCGCAGCAACGCCUGGAGCAUGAAUGAGUGGCACAAGAGAGGCGCAAGCGACUGUUUACCACAAACACAGGUGCCUGCUAAAGCGAAAGCUGAUGUAUAGGUGCUGACACCUGCCCGGUGCUGGAAGGUUAAGAGGAGGGGUUAGACUUCGGUCGAAGCUCUGAAUUGAAGCCCCAGUAAACGGCGGCCGUAACUAUAACGGUCCUAAGGUAGCGAAAUUCCUUGUCGGGUAAGUUCCGACCCGCACGAAAGGUGUAACGACUUGCGCACUGUCUCAACGAGGGACCCGGUGAAAUUGAAGUACCUGUGAAGAUGCAGGUUACCCGCGACUGGACAGAAAGACCCCAUGGAGCUUUACUGCAACCUAAGAUUGAACUUAGUUAAUGAAUGUACAGGAUAGGUGGGAGACAUAGAAUCUAGGACGCCAGUUUUAGAGGAGUCGUUGUUGGGAUACCACCCUUUCAUUAAUUGAUUUCUAACGGGCCGAGUAACGACCGGCCGGACAGUCUUAGGCGGGCAGUUUGACUGGGGCGGUCGCCUCC